UGCGCCACCGGGCCGGCCCCUAGCCGUUGACUUUUUGACUGAAGCAUCCUGUUCGUGCUACAAAUGGUGAUAACUCUCAGGAAUUCAAAUAUUAAUGAGGACUGAUGUCUGCCCUUAUGCAGCUUAUUCUUUUGCUGUUUUUUUUUCUUUCUUUCUUUAUUAGUUCUUGAGGAAGAUUUUGAGAGAGCUUUAUACUAGUUCUCCAUACCCUUCUCAGUCCCUCUAGUCUUAGGCAGUGACCUACAGGAAACUUUGUUGAAAAGACUUUACUCCUGUUCUUUAAAGUCAAGAAUCUCAGCUUUUCAUGAAAUGUUAGUCCUCAUUUUCUUUACUUAGAAAUGUAGUGUAAAAAUCAUUUUAAAAAAAAAAAAUAGGAACAAGGUAUAUAAUAAUUAUAUUAAGUAAUAAAGGAAGUUUUUAAAGUCAUGAAGAGUUUGUAUCCUCUGGUGGUGUGGUGUGCUCCUGUCUGCUGUCAGUCAGGGGUGGGGUGUGUGUGUUGCCUGAGGCUCCUGUCUAGGUCCCUGGCAUGCUUCUCACAAUCCAGUUUUAGACCAUUUUCAUCACCCCAGCAAUUUCCAUUGAGCCUAUUUUAAGAUGGACACAGAGGUUAUUGUUUUGAGACUUUUUUGUUUGUUUAAUAUAGGUGUUUCAAAUGAUAAAUUUCCCCAUAAACACUACUUUAGCUCCAUCUCGUUAUUUUUUAUAUGUUCUGUUUUCACCUUUGCUCAGUUCACAACAUGUAUAUUUUUAAGUUCCCUGCAAUUUUUUGUUCAUUUUAAAAUUGCUUUAACUUAAGCAUAUAUAUGUAUGUCUUAACUUAAGCAUUGGUUACUUCAUUGUUAUAAAAGAAUAAAAUUUAUUGAGAAUUAGAGUAGGUACAGUAUUGAGAUAUUUAAUUAUGAGAGGUUUUAUGUUCUUGGUGGUAUUCCAUGCAUUAUUACUGUCUCAUUCAGAUUGUAUCAUUUUGGAAAUGUAGGAAACUAUUUUUGAGGAAACUUUUAGAAGGUAAGAACAGCAUCCAUAGGCUAUGAAGGAAAGGAUUUUCUCAGAAUGAGCUUAUAUAUUUGACUAUAAGAUAAGAUUUAGAGUCAAGGAAUAAGCCUGCCACUUACUUGUGCUGUGAUUAAUAAUGAACAAACAGCUCUUAAAGACACCGAGUUACAAUUGUUUCCUUCAUCCUCGUUAUUGAAGUAUCAUAUUUAAGCCUGCUUUUGAUGGUGUUACUUAAAUUCUUCUGUUUUAACAGAAGAUGAUAUUUUUAAUAGAAAACUUUAAAUGAGCAGUAACUUACCAUCUUUUCUUUAGGUAAAAAGCAUCACCAACAAUAUUACAGCCUGGCUGUUUGGAUUGUGUUGCCUUGACCACAGUACUGCUUCAUCAGUCCUAAAGAGAUGAAACUAUAUUUGAGAUGGCUGAAAUCGAAUUCCUGCAGUCCUCAACUGUUGCUUAGAGCUGCCUCAUGUCACAGAGGGAGAGGUGUGAAUAGAAGACAAACCAGGGAAAGCAUGGCAGUACAUGUCUACAAAAAAUCUCAUUGAAUGAACACUACAUAAUGGGUUAGUGCACAGGUA